UAAGACGAACCUGACAAACGUUAUUCGGAAUUACUGGGCUUAAAGGGUGCGUAGGCGGCGCGACAAGUUGGGUGUGAAAUCCCUCGGCUCAACCGAGGAACUGCGCUCAAUACUGUCGUGCUCGAGGGAGACAGAGGUGAGCGGAACUUAGGGUGGAGCGGUGAAAUGCGUUGAUAUCCUAAGGAACACCGGUAGCGAAAGCGGCUCACUGGGUCUUUUCUGACGCUGAGGCACGAAAGCUAGGGUAGCGAACGGGAUUAGAUACCCCGGUAGUCCUAGCCUUAAACGAUGAGCACUUGAUUGGAGGGUCCUCCAUAGCCCUCCAGUCGUAGCGAAAGUGUUAAGUGCUCCGCCUGGGGAGUAUGGUCGCAAGGCUG
rnacentral:rRNA from 1 species